rnacentral:rRNA from 1 species
CCCUUAGAUGUUCUGGGCCGCACGCGCGCUACACUGUUUGAUUCAGCGAGUCUUAACCUUGACCGAAAGGUUUGGGUAAUCUUCUAAAGUCAAACGUGAUGGGGAUCGAUCAUUGCAAUUAUUGAUCGUGAACGAGGAAUUCCUAGUAAAUGCAAGUCAUCAGCUUGCGUUGAUUACGUCCCUGCCCUUUGUACACACCGCCCGUCGCUACUACCGAUUGAAUGGUUUAGUGAGAUCUCCGGAUUGGCUCUGUAGGUCCCGCAAGGGAUUUAUUAGUAGCCAAGAAGUUGCUCAAACUUGAUCAUUUAGAGGAAGUAAAAGUCGUAACA